ACGGGUCGUCAACUUCUUUUCUCGGAGAAGAAACAAUGACGGUAUCUGAGGAAUAAGCAUCGGCUAACUCUGUGCCAGCAGCCGCGGUAAGACAGAGGAUGCAAGCGUUAUCCGGAAUGAUUGGGCGUAAAGCGUCUUUAGGUGGCUUUUCAAGUCCGCCGUCAAAUCCCAGGGCUCAACCCUGGACAGGCGGUGGAAACUACCAAGCUGGA
rnacentral:ncRNA from 1 species